GGUUGUUUAUCUUUAUUGGCAAAGAAAAUGUUUUGAAAGCAUUAAAAAAGAGUUCAAAUCUCUUAAUAACCC
rnacentral:tRNA from 1 species